ACAAUUACCUGCCAAGGGAGACACCUUGGUCAUGAAGGAUGCUUUCUGAGUGUGAUGCUCAUCCAUUGCCCUCUGGGUGUGUUGAUCUCUGCAAUGUCCCAAAUGUGGGAAGCACAACUGCAUAAUUUGUGGUACUGGAGGAGAAAGCUUUGUGCUUUCUCCUG
ensembl:snRNA U1 U1 spliceosomal RNA